CCUGGGAAGUACGUACGCAAGUAUGAAACUAAAGGAAUUGGCGGGGAGCCCCCCCAAGGGGUGAAGCCUGCGGUUCAAUUGGAGUCAACGCCAGAAAUUUUACCCGGAGAGACAGCAGAAUGAGGGGUCCAAGCUGAAGACUUUACCAGACAAGCUGAGAGGUGGUGCAUGNCCGUCGCCAGCUCGUGCCGUGAGAUGUCCUGUUAAGUCAGGUAACGAGCGAGAUCCCUGCCGCUAGUUGCUAUCAUUAUUCUCAGGAAUAGUGGAGCGAAUUAGCGGGACUGCCGUUGUUAAAACGGAGGAAGGAAGGGGCUACGGCAGGUCAGUAUGCCCCGAAACUCUGGGGCCACACGCGGGCUGCAAUGGUAGUGACAAUGAGUUCCAAACUCGAAAGAGAGUGGCAAUCUCUAAACGCUACCACAGUUAUGACUGAGGGCUGUAACUCGCCCUCACGAAUAUGGAAUCCCUAGUAACCGCGUGUCAUUACCGCGCGGUGAAUACGUCCCUGCUCCUUGCACACACCGCCCGUCGUUUCAUCGAAGUUUGCUUUUAGCGAGGUGAUGUUUAAUUGGCAUUAUCGAACUUGAGGUAAGCGACGAGGGAAAAGUCGUAACAAGGUA
rnacentral:rRNA from 1 species